rnacentral:misc_RNA from 1 species
GAUGAAGAACGUAGCAAAAUGCGAUAAGUAAUGUGAAUUGCAGAAUUCAGUGAAUCAUCGAAUCUUUGAACGCACAUUGCGCCCGCCAGUAUUCUGGCGGGCAUGCCUGUUCGAGCGUCAUUUCAACCCUCAAGCCCUCGGGUUUGGUGUUGGGGAUCGGCGAGCCUUUCUGGCAAGCCGGCCCCGAAAUCUAGUGGCGGUCUCGCUGCAGCCUCCAUUGCGUAGUAGUAAAACCCUCGCAACUGGAACGCGGCGCGGCCAAGCCGUUAAACCCCCAACUUCUGAAUGUUGACCUCGGAUCAGGUAGGAAUACCCGCUGGACUUAAGCAUAUCAAUAAGCGGAGGA